UGAUUUUCUUUUUGUAGAUGGAUAACAUGGAGUGCUUUUUCAAGGAGAAAAUGGGUGUCAUUGCUGAACUUCGAAGUUCUGGAGUACCUAUGGAAUGUGCCUAGCCAUUGCAUAGCAUGGAAGUAGGGCUUGGUUGCAGAAAUAUGUGCUUUGACUAUAGAAAUAGCAUGGAACCAGAGCCAGGAAGGUGCAGAAGAACAGAUGGAAAGAAAUGGUGAUUCUCUAAGGAUGUGGUGUCGGAUCAAAAGUACUGUGAGCGCCACAUGCAUAGAGGUCGUCAACGUUCAAGAAAGCCUGUGGAAGGCAAUGCCACUGCCAACAACAACACCACCACCACCACCAAAUACACCAUCGAUUCCAACACCAAUCUCUCCAUUUCAAUCUUCUUUAAUUACGGAGAGAAUAUUUUGUAUGUUCAAAUUUAAAUAGUCUUACUGGGAUCCACCACAUUGCUUGUAGAAACUAGCACAGCCGAAUUACACUGCUGCGGCCUCACCAUAAAGCUGAUUGCAAGGAUCGAUCUACAAGCUAUGGCCCAAAAACUGAUUUACUAAAUACAUGUCACAUUUUAAGGACAAGCUCAAACAUAAGCGUUUUGCUGCAGUCAUAAUGCGGAUAAGGGAGCCGAAAACAACAGCUUUAAUAUUUGCAUCCGGUAAAAUGAACUUAAAUACCACAGCAGGUGUCUGUGCUCUAAGCACCUAGAUGAUGCGAGUUUAUGGUUGUGCAAGGAAUGAAGAUUGGCAAGUCCAGGAAAUGACAGAAACUGAUGAAAUUUCCCAGUAUUUAUAGCGAAGAGUUCUACCUCGAAUUUCAGUAGGCACUUGUUAUUGGGGUUUUAUAAGUAGGGACUGCAGCAGCUGGAUCUCGUGUCACAUUUCAAUGAUCCAAACCGUUUAUAUGAUGGGCCUCAAAGCAGAUGGGGGCUGCUUGGAUGUCCUGCUCACAGUUGGGGCUUAUUCAACAGCUAGAGGCACGGUGAUCUCAAGGUUGUUUAUUAGAUUCUUUUGGUUUGGACUCAGUUCAGUAUUUGUAACAUAUAUCUACAUGUGAGUGUAGUAUUAUGUUUGAAAUUUACAUUUUCAUAUUGUUGUGGCAGACCCAUGGUCCCUUUUUGCUAUUGCUGUACAAUAGUUUUUUAUAUCCUUGUACUCAUACAUGCUUCCCAAACUGCAUUGCAGGAAGGUUCUGGAGGAAAAGAUAACCGGAACUCAGAUUCUUUCUAUUUUUGGAUUUAUAUUCUUGUGUUGGGAGUUUAUGUUGGCAUACGCAUAUUU